rnacentral:lncRNA from 10 species
GCAGUUUGGUGGGGCUUUGUGUCUGAAUUCUGGCCAAUGGAACCACGUGGAGGCCUGGCCCAGAACAUCUCCCUGUGGAUUCUCUCAUCUGGCAACUGGAUGCCUACACGAAGGGUGAUUUUGGAGUCAUGUGUUGGAGAUCACAAAGCUUUUGUCAGCCAGGUUCCUGAAUGACUGCUAGACACCAUGGGCUGAACUUUAUGGAGCUCCAGCACCACCUCCAGCCUUCAGUGACUGUCUGGAGCAGGCAUCCGGAUGGAAGAGAAGGGGGACAACCAUGAACUUGGUGACCCACGGUCAGCCUGAUUUCCCUUGUGGACACAUUUAUGCCCAGUGUGCAUUCCUCCUGAGGUCUGUUCCAAGUCUGGAGGCAGCAGAGUAGAGUGGAGAGAACAGUGGACUUGGAAUCUCACCUCCCAGAUUAGAGUCCUGGAUCUGACUUUGAUUGCUGGUGCUGCCUCGGGCAAGUUACUUUAGCUGUGUGCAUCUCCAUUUCCCCAUGGAUAGAACAUGGGUUUUGGGUAGAAGUGUCUGAUAGCUGUACUGUGCUUUACGGUUCAUGAGCACGCACACAUAGGCCCAUAAUAUCAUAUCUCUGGUCACCCUGGCAGGUAGAUAUUAUUGCCCCAGGUUUCAGGUAAGAAGACUAAAGACCAGGGGUCAAUUGCUUGCUCAGAGUCCCACAGCCAGCAGCAGCCAGGCAGGACACCAAGUCAGAGUCUAGAUUCCGGAUCUUGCCCUCUUCCAAGUGUACCACAUUCUUCUCAAAGUGGCCUCUCAGGUCUUUUGUCCAGAAAAUUUUGAGACUUUGAUGAGAAGCCCAUAUCUGCACACUGGGGAUUAGGCCAGAUAACCCUGUGUGUCCUUCCAGGCCUGGUAUUGUGAGGCUGAAGCCUAGUGCCCCACACUCCCUUCCUCACCCCUUAGAGAAAGAUAGAGACUCCAGGGCCAGCCUGGUGGGUGCUGAACCUGCCCUGCUGAGCCAAGCCCAGGAGGCAGCCAAGGUCCUACCAGUGACCUUACCCUGGGGGCCCCUCCAGGUAGGAGCCUGGUUGGAAAAGACAGACCGACUUCUUCUGGGUUGGCUGGAAAAAGAUGACAUACUCAAAGCCUUGUCCUUCCACUUGGAUGCACCUGGUGAAGAUGCGACAGUCACCUUUGUCUGGGGAGAGAUAGGCAGUGUUGCAGCCGGAGAAGGGAGGGUAUGGUCAGGAUGCAGCACCAUUUGGUUGAGUCUUGCCUCUGGUACAAGAUUAAGGAGAGAAAACCAGAGGACACCAGGUCCACCCCCAGGGAGCCUUCCCUCUGGGAGCAGAGGCACAGUUGCUGUCCUCACAGAGCCUUUCUGUCUAGGGCAGAAACAUGCAGGAAGUGCCCUGGCUGAGAAUGGAGAUAGGAUCAGGGCCAGGGCAAGACUUUAAGAGACCAUAAGCAUUGAAAAUUGAAAAUGUAAUUACUCAUGUAACUCACAUAUAAUUCAAAAGAAUAAUAGUAAACAGUAAA